AGUGAACGCUGGCGGUAGGCCUAACACAUGCAAGUCGAACGGCAGCACAGUAAGAGCUUGCUCUUACGGGUGGCGAGUGGCGGACGGGUGAGGAAUACAUCGGAAUCUACUUUUUCGUGGGGGAUAACGUAGGGAAACUUACGCUAAUACCGCAUACGACCUACGGGUGAAAGCAGGGGAUCUUCGGACCUUGCGCGAUUGAAUGAGCCGAUGUCGGAUUAGCUAGUUGGCGGGGUAAAGGCCCACCAAGGCGACGAUCCGUAGCUGGUCUGAGAGGAUAAUCAGCCACACUGGAACUGAGACACGGUCCAGACUCCUACGGGAGGCAGCAGUGGGGAAUAUUGGACAAUGGGCGCAAGCCUGAUCCAGCCAUACCGCGUGGGUGAAGAAGGCCUUCGGGUUGUAAAGCCCUUUUGUUGGGAAAGAAAAGCAGCAGGUUAAUACCCCGCUGUUCUGACGGUACCUAAAGAAUAAGCACCGGCUAACUUCGUG
rnacentral:rRNA from 1 species